CAGAGGUUUUUGUACAACGGCUUCAUAGGAAUGUAUCACUGUGGUACACUUUUGGUGGAGGCUCCAAACUCAUUGUGAAAACUGGUCCGGUGGUGAAGCCCUCCGUGUCUCUGCUCCCUCCCUCCUCUCUGCAGCUCUCUGAGGGAUCGGCCUCGCUGCUCUGCCUGCUCUCGGCCUAUUCUCCACAGGGGGCGCAGCUCAGCUGGACCGUGGACGGUGCCGAGGUGAACGAGGGGGUUCUGACCAGCACAGAAGAACAGAAGAAUGGCUUGUACAGCCGCAGCAGCACCCUGACCCUCAGCAAAGAACGCUGGGAAGAGGCCGAGGUGUUCAGCUGUACCGUCUCCCUCCACGACACCACUCAGAUCACCUCGUUCCGAAAGAGCCGCUGUGACGUCCACUAGAAUUCAAGUGUACACUUCAAAACAUGCUUAGCAGUCUGAGAUGGUGUCACUGGUGUAGCUAUGCUGAAAUAAAGCUUCAAUGUGGAAA